AACCUGCCUCUUAGCGGGGGAUAACUAUUGGAAACGAUAGCUAAUACCGCAUAAAAGUCGAUAUCGCAUGAUAUUGAUUUGAAAGGUGCAAUUGCAUCACUAAGAGAUGGACCUGCGUUGUAUUAGCUAGUUGGUGAGGUAACGGCUCACCAAGGCGACGAUACAUAGCCGACCUGAGAGGGUGAUCGGCCACACUGGGACUGAGACACGGCCCAGACUCCUACGGGAGGCAGCAGUAGGGAAUCUUCGGCAAUGGGGGCAACCCUGACCGAGCAACGCCGCGUGAGCGAAGAAGGUUUUCGGAUCGUAAAGCUCUGUUGUAAGAGAAGAACGAGUGUGAGAGUGGAAAGUUCACACUGUGACGGUAGCUUACCAGAAAGGGACGGCUAACUACGUGCCAGCAGCCGCGGUAAUACGUAGGUCCCGAGCGUUAUCCGGAUUUAUUGGGCGUAAAGCGAGCGCAGGCGGUUAGAUAAGUCUGAAGUUAAAGGCUGUGGCUUAACCAUAGUACGCUUUGGAAACUGUUUAACUUGAGUGCAGAAGGGGAGAGUGGAAUUCCAUGUGUAGCGGUGAAAUGCGUAGAUAUAUGGAGGAACACCGGUGGCGAAAGCGGCUCUCUGGUCUGUAACUGACGCUG
rnacentral:rRNA from 1 species